rnacentral:rRNA from 1 species
UGGAGCCGACCUUGAAAUACCACCCUUUAAUGUUUGAUGUUCUAACGUGGACCCGUGAUCCGGGUUGCGGACAGUGUCUGGUGGGUAGUUUGACUGGGGCGGUCUCCUCCUAAAGAGUAACGGAGGAGCACGAAGGUUGGCUAAUCCUGGUCGGACAUCAGGAGGUUAGUGCAAUGGCAUAAGCCAGCUUGACUGCGAGCGUGACGGCGCGAGCAGGUGCGAAAGCAGGUCAUAGUGAUCCGGUGGUUCUGAAUGGAAGGGCCAUCGCUCAACGGAUAAAAGGUACUCCGGGGAUAACAGGCUGAUACCGCCCAAGAGUUCAUAUCGACGGCGGUGUUUGGCACCUCGAUGUCGGCUCAUCACAUCCUGGGGCUGAAGUAGGUCCCAAGGGUAUGGCUGUUCGCCAUUUAAAGUGGUACGCGAGCUGGGUUUAGAACGUCGUGAGACAGUUCGGUCCCUAUCUGCCGUGGGCGCUGGAGAACUGAGGGGGGCUGCUCCUAGUACGAGAGGACCGGAGUGGACGCAUCACUGGUGUUCGGGUUGUCAUGCCAAUGGCACUGCCCGGUAGCUAAAUGCGGAAGAGAUAAGUGCUGAAAGCAUCUAAGCACGAAACUUGCCCCGAGAUGAGUUCUCCCUGAGACUUUAGGUCUCCUGAAGGAACGUUGAAGACGACGACGUUGAUAGGCCGGGUGUGUAAGCGCAGCGAUGCGUUGAGCUAACCGGUACUAAUGAACCGUGAGGCUUAACCUU